rnacentral:lncRNA from 1 species
UUUCGUUGCAGUUUUACAAUACCAGUCAGCCAAUAAUAACGUACUACACUACUGGAGGUAAGGACAUGUGCAAGGACGACAUCAAGAUCAACAUAACUAAUCAAGAUAUUUACUUGCUCAGAGGUUUCAAGUCGUGGUGGAUGCCUCCCACUCUUCUAUACGGCCUUUUUUGCGGUAAUACCAGCUACAAACCGUCCACCUGUAACUCCAUGAAACUAACUUCUACCAAUGAUACAAGUUUCCCACCUCGGAAUGGGACUCGUUGGAAUAGCCAAGAAACUUUAUUUUUUGCAACAAAUGACUUCGUCUGUGGCGUGUUUCGAGUCGAUUUGUUCAGCAAUGGAGGCCGAACUGGUAUUUAUGAAGUCCGUGUGAGAAACGCAUACAAGAUGGAUGAAAUAGCGCAACAAUGCUUGAAUUACACAAGUGUACAUUUCAGUGGAGAGAAUUUUACUGACUGUAAGAAAUUUAAAUAACAUUUCAUAAAACAACCUCCGCAUGCCAUACGAAUUUGUAAUU